rnacentral:rRNA from 1 species
UGGCGGCGUGCUUAACACAUGCAAGUCGAACGGAAAGGCCCUGCUUUUGUGGGGUGCUCGAGUGGCGAACGGGUGAGUAACACGUGAGUAACCUGCCCUUGACUUUGGGAUAACUUCAGGAAACUGGGGCUAAUACCGGAUAGGAGCUCCUGCUGCAUGGUGGGGGUUGGAAAGUUUCGGCGGUUGGGGAUGGACUCGCGGCUUAUCAGCUUGUUGGUGGGGUAGUGGCUUACCAAGGCUUUGACGGGUAGCCGGCCUGAGAGGGUGACCGGCCACAUUGGGACUGAGAUACGGCCCAGACUCCUACGGGAGGCAGCAGUGGGGAAUAUUGCACAAUGGGCGGAAGCCUGAUGCAGCAACGCCGCGUGCGGGAUGACGGCCUUCGGGUUGUAAACCGCUUUCGCCUGUGACGAAGCGUGAGUGACGGUAAUGGGUAAAGAAGCACCGGCUAACUACGUGCCAGCAGCCGCGGUGAUACGUAGGGUGCGAGCGUUGUCCGGAUUUAUUGGGCGUAAAGGGCUCGUAGGUGGUUGAUCGCGUCGGAAGUGUAAUCUUGGGGCUUAACCCUGAGCGUGCUUUCGAUACGGGUUGACUUGAGGAAGGUAGGGGAGAAUGGAAUUCCUGGUGGAGCGGUGGAAUGCGCAGAUAUCAGGAGGAACACCAGUGGCGAAGGCGGUUCUCUGGGCCUUUCCUGACGCUGAGGAGCGAAAGCGUGGGGAGCGAACAGGCUUAGAUACCCUGGUAGUCCACGCUGUAAACGGUGGGUACUAGGUGUGGGGUCCAUUCCACGGGUUCCGUGCCGUAGCUAACGCUUUAAGUACCCCGCCUGGGGAGUACGGCCGCAAGGCCAAAACUCAAAGGAAUUGACGGGGCCCCGCACAAGCGGCGGAGCAUGCGGAUUAAUUCGAUGCAACGCGUAGAACCUUACCUGGGUUUGACAUGGAUCGGGAGUGCUCAGAGAUGGGUGUGCCUCUUUUGGGGUCGGUUCACAGGUGGUGCAUGGCUGUCGUCAGCUCGUGUCGUGAGAUGUUGGGUUAAGUCCCGCAACGAGCGCAACCCUUGUUCACUGUUGCCAGCACGUUAUGGUGGGGACUCAGUGGAGACCGCCGGGGUCAACUCGGAGGAAGGUGGGGAUGACGUCAAGUCAUCAUGCCCCUUAUGUCCAGGGCUUCACGCAUGCUACAAUGGCUGGUACAGAGAGUGGCGAGCCUGUGAGGGUGAGCGAAUCUCGGAAAGCCGGUCUCAGUUCGGAUUGGGGUCUGCAACUCGACCUCAUGAAGUCGGAGUCGCUAGUAAUCGCAGAUCAGCAACGCUGCGGUGAAUACGUUCCCGGGGCUUGUACACACCGCCCGUCAAGUCAUGAAAGUUGGUAACACCCGAAGCCGGUGGCCUAACCGUUGUGGGGGAGCCGUCGAAGGUGGGACUGGU